rnacentral:rRNA from 1 species
AACGAACGCUGGCGGUGUGCCUCAUACAUGCAAGUCGUACGCGAAUCCUGCCGCAAGGCAGGGUUUGAGUGGCAAACGGGUGCGUAACACGUAGGUAAUCUUCCUUUGAGUUGGGGAUAAGCCCUCGAAAGGGGGUCGUAAUACCGAAUAACACUUCGGGCCGGCAUCGGCCCGAAAUUAAAGAUGGCCUCUGCUUGCAAGCUAUCGCUCGGAGAUGAGCCUGCGGCCGANAGUUAGUUGGCGGGAUAAAAGCCCACCAAGACUUCGAUCGGUAGCCGGUCUGAGAGGAUGUCCGGCCACACUGGGACUGAGAUACGGCCCAGACUCCUACGGGAGGCAGCAGUAGGGAAUAUUGCGCAAUGGCCGCAAGGCUGACGCAGCAACACCGCGUGGGGGA